UUCUUUUCCUUUCAAUUCCUCCCAACCAAAUAAAGCCUAACUCUUUUUCGUUGUUCUUCCCUGUGAGUGCGUCGAGGCGGAUAUCGGGCAUGCAACAACAAACACAUAUCAACUAAAAGACAAAUAGCUAAAAGACAAAAAAGGAAGUACCAUUCAUGUAAAAAAAGUACCAUUCUAAUACCAUUCUGUAAAAAAAAGUACCAUUUGUGUUUAGAAAAGUACCAUUUAAUUUUUUUUUUGUCCUUUUUCCUAUUUUGUCUUAUGUUCUGAUAUGUAUUUGGACACACAUAUCAGAUAUGUGUUUUUACUUCCUCUCUUCCCUGACUUGCUUUAUUCAACUAAGACUAUCAAGUAACAAUUGAAUGUGGAGUUAAUACCAAGACUAUCAAGUAUCAAUUGAAUGUUGGGUUAAUCCCUCUUUGCUAAGGUACAGUGUAGCCGCCGGAUCUUUGAUCCGGAGGUACAGUGUAAGUGUCGGGUCUUAGAUCCGGAGGUGGAGUAUAGUUGCCGGAUUGUUCUCCUGGAGGUGUAGUCAGGCUGCCGGAAAAGUAAACCGAAGGUAUAGUAAGUUUCCCGAAUAAUAUUACCGGAGGUAGGUAACUGCAAAUUGAUUUCAUAAAAAGUAUAAUUGCUUGAUUCAGUGGUUUUGCUUCUUUGAGGGUUUUUUGUUCUCUCUCUUAUUAUGAUAAAAAGAGGGAUCUGAGAAGAAUGUGGUCAUUCAUCAAUUGCAAUUGCGAUUACAAAUUCAUGAAAAGUUGAGUGAUUGCAGACAAGAAAGAGGAAGGAAUGGAGGAUUUAUGCUCUCGAAAAUGGGAACUCCAGAACUUACGUGGUUGUCAUAAAGCAUACAGAUGUUUAUAAGUAAUUGAAUAGACAAGGCUAAUUUAAGAAAAAAUAAUAUUUAAGUUUAUAUUAAGUUAUUCUGCAUUUAGGUAAAAUAACACCUGCAUUUAGCACUCCCCAAAAUUUUUGGUGGAAAUCUCUCUACUCAAAUCAAAUCUAUCAGCAAAGAAAUUUAAUUUCCUCUGUAUUCCUUGAAGGCGUCGAUCUAGCCUCAUCUAGGGUUCCUAGUUCCUAAAGCUAUGGUGAAGGUGAAGGUGAAGGUGAAGGUGUUUCGGUUUAUAAAUUCACAUAAAAUCGUUUGUUGGUUUGGUUUGGUUUGCUCUUCGUCUGUCAAUCAUCAAGGUAAAGGUUAUCAUCCUCUUCAUGUGCUAUACUCCCCCAUUCCCUAAAAUCUCUCCCACCAUUUGUCUACUCUCUCACCUCCAAUUUUUUGAUUGUUGAUUCCUGUAUUUUCCAGCUCUUCCGCUUCAAAUCAAUUCUUAAGGUAAGUUAUUGCCCUGCUGCUUACUAUUUAAUUAGAAUUCAAUUGUUGGGUGCUUUAUUUACUCUCUUUUCUUCAUUUGUUCUAGCUAGAUGAUGAUGAUGUAGUUGAUUUUUUUUAACUUGAUUUUUUUAUGUGGGUGUUAAUAUUUUGGAUCUGAAAUUCUGAAUUGAAUAUUGGUUUUUUACGGGUUUUGAAAUUUGGUUCAUACAAAACUGAGAUUUUGGCAAUUUGAAGGGUUUUAUAAAUUAGGAAAUGUAAAAUUGAAUUGGGUAUAUUGUUUGAAGUUGUUUAUCCUGUUGGUUUCUUUUGUUUAAAAUUAAAUAGGUAAGAAUGUCCCUAAACCUUGAACUUUUUCAACUAGAGUGCAUCGGGUUAAGAAUGGUGAGAAACGAUCCUCUUGGUACCUCAAACCCACUAAAAAAGGUGAUUGUGGUAAUGAGACUUUACAGGUAAUUAGAAGCUUAACAAAUGGAGGAACAAUGUGAAAAUUAUAUUUGAAUGAAAAGACUAUAUUUUGUGAAAGGAAGUUCAGACUUAUUUGAGCAUUAUAAGAUAUAGUCACUUUUUGGUUUUGGUUGAGGUGUUUUUGUAAAAACAAAUUUAUGGGACGGUUUUCUACAUUGAGAAGUGGUGAUAAUUGGUGAAAAAAUCAUUUGAAGGUAUGUGAUUGAGUUAAGGAUAACCUGGAUUUUAGUAAUGGCGACUUGUGGCCGGCUUCAAGAGUUUAAGUGCAUAAGGACAGUUUGUAUAUUCCCCGAGUUCAACUACAUAUGUUUAAUAUUCCCUCCGUCCCUAAAAUAUUGCCCCAAGUACUUUUUCUCACUUUAUUAUGAAUUGGGUAUACUCAAAAGUAAAUUCGGUAAAUUUAUCUUUUAGUUAGAUUAAAUAAUUAUUUGUGAGGAGAAACAUGUGAGGACUAUAAACCAAAUAAGGUAUGGGGAAACAAAUAGGGAUAUCCAUUUAUGGUAUAUGGGCCAAUCUUUUAAGGACAAAGGGAGUAUGUAAGUCGAACUGGUUGUCUAUUGCUUCUAAAGGGAAAAAAUGGGAUAAUUUUUUGAGCCCUUUUUUUUGUUUGUGUGGUACAAUACAUUUGGGUCUUCUACUCUCAAAUUCUAAUGCUAAAGUAUUUAGGAAGAGCUUCCUUGACUAGAAUCUGGCUUUCAAUCCUCUCUCUCUUCCCCAUCUCUCUCUCUCUCUAAUUCUAAUGCUAAAGUAUUUAGGAAAACCUAAUGCGGGCUUCAAAAAUUCUAAUGUUGGUUUCUUUUGUUUAAAAUUAAAUAGACUAUCGGGUUAACACUAUACAUGUUCAUAUAUAUUUUUUAGAAAAUGAAUACCAGAAGCGUUACAUAUUCACUCAAAAGUUUGUUAGUGUUACAUUAGACUCAGAAAAAAGCCCUGUUAUUGUUGAAUUUCUGUGGUCAUUCAUAAUAACAUUGAGAGUUUGAAGCUAUAAGACCAAUGAAGCAUACACUAAAUAAAUCUAGUAGCUAACACAAGCCAUUUCUAGCUACCUACAUUAACAGCUAAUAAUCUUCAGACUCUUAAGUCUUAAGCUUCUGCUUGCUUGUUAUUUGAGUGUUUUUGUUUUGUAAAUGUGAGUUCCUUUUUCAGUUCUGCGUAGCAUUUUAUCUUAUUAAAUAUAUUCAGCAAUGCAUUUGAUCACCUCAUGUUUUAAUUGUUUGAUAGUUCAAGUCAGUGUUCUCCCAAUUCAAGAAUGUCAAAGUUAUAAAUUUAAUAUCAAUUCAAGAUGCCUUUAUUGGGUUUGCUGACAAGGUAAGUUUCCGUUUCAAAAUAUUUCUUAGCUUUUGUGUGCAGCUAUGAAGCACGGGGACGGCUGGGUACACCCGUUUCCCGUACCGGGUACGGGUACGGUACGGGUACGGGACGGGUACGGGACGGGUACGGGACGGGUACGCCAGGAAACGUCCCCAAAACGAAUCUGAAUUCUGGGUACGUGGGCCGAAAAUGGGUACGGAUGGGUACGGGGUGGGUACGCGGGUGGGUACGUAUUUGGACAAAAACCAAGUACCCAACAACCAUUAAGACCCAAAUUCAAAUUUUUAGGGUUUUUUUUCCAAAUCCCACAUUUCUCUCACCUGUCUUCGACUCUUCUUCCGUUCUUCGACGCUGGUCUUCUUCUUGUUCCCUCGCCGCCGGUGUUCAUCCUCGCCGGCCAGGCGGCGGCGAACUUCUGGUGCGAAGUCACCUACAACUAAGUGCGAGUGUGCGACAGCGAUUCAGCGAAGGAGCGAACAACGACGAGGAACUGCGAUAAUACUUGGGAUCCACCACAAAUAUGGAUGAAUUGUUUGUUCUCAUGAAUUGUACCUGUCGUGGUUUUGGUGUUGUACUACUAGGAGUCUAGCUGUCAACCAAUUUGUCCACUUUAUAGUACCAAGUAUUAUUUAUUUCUUUAUUUUUGAAUUUCUUAUAAAGGAUUAGUUGUCAACAUUAAUUUGUCCACUCUUUUACUGUGUAGGACACUUGUAUUUCUUUUUUUCUUUUUUUUUUCUUUUUUUUUGAGUUUUGAUUAGAGCUUAAAUAUGUACCUUUUUUUCUCAAUUUAAACGAAAUUGUAUUAUGUUAUCGAAAAUCGGAUUUUAAAAUUACUCAAAACGUAUUUGUAAUAUAUAUUAUUUAAUUUUUUUUGCCGAAUCCAAGCCGUACCCGUUUUUACAAAUUUUGGUUUUGUCGUUUUCCGUCCCCGUACCCGUCCCCGUAUCUGUUCCCGUAUCCUUAUCGGUGCUACCUAGGUGUGCAGUGCAUGCUGCUUGCUACCGUAGUUUCUGUAAUACUUACAUGGUAAUAUGCUCAUUUAGGAGAGAGAACAGAAGUUCGAGAAACGUGUUAAACGUUAUGUAAGCAUAUGGUGUUGUGUGAUUAAUAACACACCAGGUCCAUAUAUAUUAUGAUAUGUAUUGGGACAAGAAACCUAACUGGAAACCAUUACCACCACAAAAUCCAGAGGAUGAUCACCCUCCAGUAUAGCUGCCUAGACUGUAUGUCCUUACAACACGAGAACUAUGAACGCAUUACACGGAGAGACAAAAGCAUGCAAUCAUCCGACAGACAUUUGUAGACAAUAUUUCAAGUUUGACAGGCAGCUGGCAGUGGCAGUACUCCAACAGAGGAAAACAUUUUGAUUAUUGGUGCAAUGCUAGCUGCAACUCAGGCAUACAAAGAGAAGUCUUGCCCUCUUCUAGGGCAGGGCAGGGCAGGGCAGAGAAGUUGUUGCAAUACUAUUCUGAUUAUGAUAUGAGAAUUCUGUUGAAUCACUGAUCUAGAUAAAAAGAUGUGUUCAUAAUUGUAGCUAAACAUUUCUUUCAUUCAAUUUAGUUAUAUACCAAGUUGUAUCCUGGUGCAUUUGUUCCAAUGUAAUUGAACUAAAGCACCAGUAAACAAAAUGGUGCAUGCCUCAGUUUGCCACAAUUUUUUGUAGUAUAAACAAAUUUGAAUACUUGUGAAUUUUACCAUAUUAAUCACACUUUUUUGUCUUUGCAGGUUUGCGUGCAGGUCAUUAUAGUUGAGAAAUUAAGAAGCUACAUCAAUAUGAAUGACAAGAUUUUAUUGUAUCUUAGUCUCUUUGAUGUAAAUAAUUAUUUUAUUUAUUUCAUUUUAAGAUUUUUCACCUACACAACAAAACCUUAAUGUAAUCUUGAACACAUUUUCUCCCCUCAAGUUAGUGGUUCCUUGUCUCAA